rnacentral:tRNA from 1 species
GGACGGGUAGCUCAGGUGGUAGAGCAUCGGACUUUUAAUCCGGUGGCCGUGGGUUCGAGUCCCACCCCGUUCACCA